rnacentral:rRNA from 2 species
GUGCAUCGGAAACUGGGAGACUUGAGUGCAGAAGAGGACAGUGGAACUCCAUGUGUAGCGGUGGAAUGCGUAGAUAUAUGGAAGAACACCAGUGGCGAAGGCGGCUGUCUAGUCUGUAACUGACGCUGAGGCUCGAAAGCAUGGGUAGCGAACAGGAUUAGAUACCCUGGUAGUCCAUGCCGUAAACGAUGAGUGCUAAGUGUUGGAGGGUUUCCGCCCUUCAGUGCUGCAGCUAACGCAUUAAGCACUCCGCCUGGGGAGUACGACCGCAAGGUUGAAACUCAAAGGAAUUGACGGGGGCCCGCACAAGCGGUGGAGCAUGUGGUUUAAUUCGAAGCUACGCGAAGAACCUUACCAGGUCUUGACAUCUUCUGCCAAUCUUAGAGAUAAGACGUUCCCUUCGGGGACAGAAUGACAGGUGGUGCAUGGUUGUCGUCAGCUCGUGUCGUGAGAUGUUGGGUUAAGUCCCGCAACGAGCGCAACCCUUAUUAUCAGUUGCCAGCAUUCAGUUGGGCACUCUGGUGAGACUGCCGGUGACAAACCGGAGGAAGGUGGGGAUGACGUCAAAUCAUCAUGCCCCUUAUGACCUGGGCUACACACGUGCUACAAUGGACGGUACAACGAGUUGCGAAGUCGUGAGGCUAAGCUAAUCUCUUAAAGCCGUUCUCAGUUCGGAUUGUAGGCUGCAACUCGCCUACAUGAAGUUGGAAUCGCUAGUAAUCGCGGAUCAGCAUGCCGCGGUGAAUACGUUCCCGGGCCUUGUACACACCGCCCGUCACACCAUGAGAGUUUGUAACACCCAAAGCCGGUGAGAUAACCUUCGGG